ACAAAGCUCAGUAUUGAUGCUGAGCGAAAGUCGAAGCAUCAAAAGGCAGCCUUGUGCAGAAAUGCGCAAUGGAAAAACCGGGCUAAUUCGGGGAAAUCUCUAAGAGACAAUCCCGAGCUAAAUUCCGAGGCGAAGCCGAGGACUUGUCCUGAGCUUUGCCAAAGGAUAAAUGUGUAGAGACUAUAUACCCGGAUCCCGUUAGGGAUAUGAGAUAGUCCAGUCCUUUCGGCGACGAGAGG
rnacentral:ncRNA from 1 species